GCGUUGGCGGCGUCCCCGGCACUGCCCCUGGAAGGUCAAGAUGGAAGAGAUCCUGAGGAAGCUGCAGAAGGAAGCGUCCGGGAGCAAGUACAAAGCCAUCAAGGAGAGCUGCACCUGGGCCCUGGAAACCCUGGGCAGUCUGGACACCAUUGUCAAAAUCCCUCCCCACUUGCUGAGGUAAGAAACAGAGACUGUGUGAUACAGCAGAGGUAAAUGUUGCCCUCCACACCCUCUUGAAGGCCAGAUGACUUUGUUGGUUUUCAGCAUUGUAC
rnacentral:lncRNA from 1 species